UUUCUUGGCCAUUUAUUUGGUAUUUUGAAGGACUUUAUGGAUUUUUCCUUUUAUUUCCAUUUUAAAAUUCAUUUUUAAAAUUGUUUUUGAUGCAUUUUAUUUCCUUUUUUUGCAUUUUAUAUUUGUUUGAACUUUGUUGACUUCUGUUGGCCUUGAAUUAUGGUUGUUUUGAUCAUAAGUCUCAUCAAACUCAAUCGAUCUUGAGUGUUGAUGGGGUCAAAACGCUAAUCCACCAAAAUGGAUGAUUGACUUUGAUGAUUACUUGAUCAAAC
rnacentral:lncRNA from 1 species